rnacentral:rRNA from 1 species
UAAGGAAGCGUAAUCAGNUGGCUUUUAAAUGGAGUCGAGUAUGAAUGGGUUUUCGGAAACAAGCUGUCUCUUUUUGGUUAUAUUGAAGUUUCUUUAAGGGUGCAAAGUCCCUUGGUUAGAAAAAAGACGAGAAGACCCUUAGAGUUUUUAUUAAAGAUAAGAAUUUAUUCAAGUUUUUGCUGGGGCGGCAGAGAGACAGAUAAUUAACUCUCUUUUUAUUGUUUUUAGAAGACAAAAAUGUUAAGAAUCAUUAAACUACCUUAGGGAUAACAGCAUAAUUAAGUUUUAGUUUGUGACCUCGAUGUUGGACUAGGAAGGCUUUUGACCAGCAGUCAAAAAGUGUGGUUCUGUUCGAACUAA